rnacentral:rRNA from 1 species
GUUUGAUCCUGGCUCAGGAUGAACGCUAGCGGCAGGCCUAACACAUGCAAGUCGAGGGGUAACAGAGAAGCUUGCUUCUGCUGACGACCGGCGCACGGGUGCGUAACGCGUAUGCAACCUACCUCAUACUGGAGAAUAGCCCUUGGAAACGAGGAUUAAUACUCCAUGGUAUCAUUCUUUCGCAUGUUAGAAUGAUUAAAGAAUUUCGGUAUGAGAUGGGCAUGCGUCCCACUAGCUAGUUGGUGAGGUAACGGCUCACCAAGGCGAUGAUGGGUAGGGGGCCUGAGAGGGUGGUCCCCCACACUGGUACUGAGACACGGACCAGACUCCUACGGGAGGCAGCAGUGAGGAAUAUUGGUCAAUGGAGGCAACUCUGAACCAGCCAUGCCGCGUGAAGGAUGACGGCCCUAUGGGUUGUAAACUUCUUUUAUAUGGGAAGAAACUUAUCUACGUGUAGAUAACUGACGGUACCAUACGAAUAAGGAUCGGCUAACUCCGUGCCAGCAGCCGCGGUAAUACGGAGGAUCCAAGCGUUAUCCGGAUUCAUUGGGUUUAAAGGGUCCGUAGGCGGACUUUUAAGUCAGUGGUGAAAGCCGGCAGCUCAACUGUCGAACUGCCAUUGAUACUGGAAAUCUUGAGUACAAAUGAAGUAGGCGGAAUGAGUCAUGUAGCGGUGAAAAUGCAUAGAUAUGACUCAGAACACCGAUUGCGAAGGCAGCUUACUAACAUGUAACUGACGCUGAGGGACGAAAGCGUGGGGAGCGAACAGGAUUAGAUACCCUGGUAGUCCACGCCGUAAACGAUCAUCACUCGCUGUUGGCGAUAUACUGUCAGCAGCCAAGCGAAAGUAUUAAGUGAUGCACCUGGGGAGUACGCCGGCAACGGUGAAACUCAAAGGAAUUGACGGGGGCCCGCACAAGCGGUGGAGCAUGUGGUUUAAUUCGAUGAUACGCGAGGAACCUUACCAGGGCUUAAAUGUAGUAUGACCGGUCUGGAAACAGACCUUCCCUUCGGGGCAGAUACAAGGAGCUGCAAGGUUUUAGUCAAGCCCCUACACUUA